GCCGACAGGCGUAGGCGAUGGAUAACAGGUUGAUAUUCCUGUACCACCUAUAAUCGUUUUAAUCGAUGGGGGGACGCAGUAGGAUAGGCGAAGCGUGCGAUUGGAUUGCACGUCUAAGCAGUAAGGCUGAGUAUUAGGCAAAUCCGGUACUCGUUAAGGCUGAGCUGUGAUGGGGAGAAGACAUUGUGUCUUCGAGUCGUUGAUUUCACACUGCCGAGAAAAGCCUCUAGAUAGAAAAUAGGUGCCCGUACCGCAAACCGACACAGGUAGUCAAGAUGAGAAUUCUAAGGUGAGCGAGCGAACUCUCGUUAAGGAACUCGGCAAAAUGACCCCGUAACUUCGGGAGAAGGGGUGCUCUUUAGGGUUAACGCCCAGAAGAGCCGCAGUGAAUAGGCCCAAGCGACUGUUUAUCAAAAACACAGGUCUCUGCUAAACCGUAAGGUGAUGUAUAGGGGCUGACGCCUGCCCGGUGCUGGAAGGUUAAGAGGAGUGGUUAGCUUCUGCGAAGCUACGAAUCGAAGCCCCAGUAAACGGCGGCCGUAACUAUAACGGUCCUAAGGUAGCGAAAUUCCUUGUCGGGUAAGUUCCGACCCGCACGAAAGGCGUAACGAUUUGGGCACUGUCUCAACGAGAGACUCGGUGAAAUCAUAGUACCUGUGAAGAUGCAGGUUACCCGCGACAGGACGGAAAGACCCCGUGGAGCUUUACUGUAGCCUGAUAUUGAAAUUCGGCACAGCUUGUACAGGAUAGGUAGGAGCCUUUGAAACGUGAGCGCUAGCUUACGUGGAGGCGCUGGUGGGAUACUACCCUAGCUGUGUUGGCUUUCUAACCCGCACCACUUAUCGUGGUGGGAGACAGUGUCAGGCGGGCAGUUUGACUGGGGCGGUCGCCUCCUAAAAGGUAACGGAGGCGCUCAAAGGUUCCCUCAGAAUGGUUGGAAAUCAUUCAUAGAGUGUAAAGGCAUAAGGGAGCUUGACUGCGAGACCUACAAGUCGAGCAGGGUCGAAAGACGGACUUAGUGAUCCGGUGGUUCCGCAUGGAAGGGCCAUCGCUCAACGGAUAAAAGCUACCCCGGGGAUAACAGGCUUAUCUCCCCCAAGAGUUCACAUCGACGGGGAGGUUUGGCACCUCGAUGUCGGCUCAUCGCAUCCUGGGGCUGUAGUCGGUCCCAAGGGUUGGGCUGUUCGCCCAUUAAAGCGGUACGCGAGCUGGGUUCAGAACGUCGUGAGACAGUUCGGUCCCUAUCCGUCGUGGGCGUAGGAAAUUUGAGAGGAGCUGUCCUUAGUACGAGAGGACCGGGAUGGACAUACCUCUGGUGUACCAGUUGUCGUGCCAACGGCAUAGCUGGGUAGCUAUGUGUGGACGGGAUAAGUGCUGAAAGCAUCUAAGCAUGAAGCCCCCCUCAAGAUGAGAUUUCCCAACUUCGGUUAUAAGAUCCCUCAAAGAUGAUGAGGUUAAUAGGUUCGAGGUGGAAGCAUGGUGACAUGUGGAGCUGACGAAUACUAAUCGAUCGAAGACUUAAUC
rnacentral:rRNA from 1 species